rnacentral:rRNA from 1 species
GAUGAACGCUGGCGGCGUGCCUAAUACAUGCAAGUCGAGCGAACAGACGAGGAGCUUGCUUCUCUUUCGUUAGCGGCGGACGGGUGAGUAAUACGUGGAUAACCUACCUAUAAGACUGGGAUAACUUCGGGAAACCGGAGCUAAUACCGGAUAAUAUAUUGAACCGCAUGGUUCAAUAGUGAAAGACGGUUUUGCUGUCACUUAUAGAUGGAUCCGCGCCGCAUUAGCUAGUUGGUAAGGUAACGGCUUACCAAGGCAACGAUGCGUAGCCGACCUGAGAGGAUGAUCAGCCACACUGGAACUGAGACACGGUCCAGACUCCUACGGGAGGCAGCAGUAGGGAAUAUUCCGCAAUGGGCGAAAGCCUGACGGAGCAACGCCGCGUGAGUGAUGAAGGUCUUCGGAUCGUAAAACUCUGUUAUUAGGGAAGAACAAAUGUGUAAGUAACUAUGCACGUCUUGACGGUACCUAAUCAGAAAGCCACGGCUAACUACGUG